AUGUGGUGUAUGAUGCUGAUUGAUUUGCGUAUGUUGAACCAUCCUUGUGAACCUGGGAUGAACCCAACCUGGACAUGGUGUAUAAUUUUUUUGAUAUGUUAUUGGAUUCGGUUGGCUAAGAUUUUGUUGAGAAUUUUUGCAUCUAUAUUCAUCAAAGAUAUUGGGCGAUAGUUUUCUUUUUUGGUGGUAUCUCUGCCUGGUUUUGGAAUGAGGGUGAUGGUGGCCUCAAGGAAUGUCUUUGGGAGUAUUCCUUCUUCUUCAACCUUUUGAAAGAGUUUAAGGAGGAUGGGCACCAAUUCCUCGUUAUAUGUUUGAUAAAAUUCACCUGUGAAGCCAUCUGGUCCUGGACUUUUAUUUGUAGGGAGUGAUUUUAUGACCUCUUCAAUUUCAUUUCUAGUGAUCGGUCUGUUCAGUUGGUCUGUUUCUGCUUGAUUCAGUUUUGGCAGGCUGUAAGAUUCUAGAAAAUUGUCCAUUUCUUCCAGAUUGUCAAACUUAUUGCCAUAUAGUUGUUCAUAGUAUUCUCUUAUGGUUUUCUGUAUUUCUGCUGUAUCCGUUGUGAUUUCUCCCUUUUCAUUUAUAAUUUUGGUGAUUUGGGCUCUUUCUCUCCUCUUUUUAGUGAGUCUGGCCAGGGGUUUAUCAAUUUUGUUCACCUUUUCAAAGAACCAGCUCUUGGUUUUAUUAAUUUUCUCCAUUGUUUUUUGAGUCUCUAUUUUAUUGGUUUCUUCUUUGAUCUUUAUAAUUUCCUUCCUUCUGCUGACUUUAGGACUUUUUUGUUCUUCUUUUUCUAAUUCGUUUAGGUGGAGGGUUAAGUUGUCCAUUUGGGAUCUUUCUUCUUUUUUGAGAAAGGCCUGUAUUGCUAUAAAUUUCCCUCUGAGCACUGCUUUCGCAGCAUCCCAUAGAUUUUGAGAGGUUGUGUCUUCAUUAUCAUUUGUUUCAAGGUAGUUUUUAAUUUCCUUCUUGAUUUCCUCAUUGACCCAUUGGUUUUUUAGUAGCAUGUUGUUUAGUCUCCAUGGAGUAGGUUUUUUCUCUUUGCUUUUCCCGUGGUUGAUUUCUAAUUUCAUGGCAUUGUGGUCAGAGAAGACACUUGAGAUAAUUUCUACGCUCCUAAAUUUAUUGAGAUUCGCUUUAUGUCCCAAUAUGUGGUCGAUUCUUGAGAAUGUUCCAUGAGCAUUUGAGAAGAAUGUGUAUUCUGCUUUUUUUGGAUGUAGUGUCCUGAAGAUAUCAAUUCAGUCUAACUUUUCUAUUGUUUCCUUUAGGAUCUCUGUUGCUUUAUUGGUUUUCUGUCUAGAGGAUCUGUCCAUUGAUGUGAGGGGGGUAUUUAGGUCUCCUACUAUGAUUGUAUUCUCAUCAAUAUCUCCCUUUAUGUCUGUUAAUAUUUGUUGUAUGUAUCUGGGUGCUCCUGUAUUUGGGGCAUAUAUGUUGACAAUAGUAACAUCCUCUCCUUGGAUGGAUCCCUUAAUCAUUAAAUAGUGUCCUUCUUUGUCUUUCUUUAUGUCUUUUGUUUUAAAGUCUAUUUUGUCUGAUAUGAGCGUUGUGACUCCUGCUUUUCUGUCAUGUCUAUUGGCAUGAAAUACUUUUCCCCAGCCUUUCACUUUCAAUCUAUAUGUAUCUUUUGUCCUAAGGUGAGUUUCUUGUAGGCAGCAUAUUGAAGGUUUUUGCCUUUUUAUCCACUCAGCCAUUCUGUGUCUUUUGAUUGAGGCAUUCAGUCCAUUGACAUUUAAGGUGAUAAUUGAUAGAUGAUUAUUUAUUGCCAUUUGAACCUCGUGUUCCAGUUGAUUCUAUGGUUCUCCAUUCUUCUUUUUUUUUUUUUUUUGGUUGGAUGGUCUCCUGUUAUUAUCUGCUUGAGUGUAUUUUUUUUUUCAUUUUUUGCAAAUGCAAUAUUUGGUUUUGGCUUGUGGUUGCCCUGUUUUUUAAGUAUGCUAACCCCUUCCCAUAAAUGUGUGUUUUAGCCUGAUGGUCCUGUAAGUUCAAACACUUCAUUACUAUAUUAAAAUUAAGAAGAGAGACAUACAAACACACAAACAAAAAGGGUUAUUUACUUCCUAACAUCCCUUGCCCACAUUUUAUGGUUUUGAUGACUCUUUUUUAUUUUUUCUUUUUAAUUUUAUUUUGUUUGAAGCA
rnacentral:lncRNA from 1 species